GGAGGGUGUGGUCUCUGACAGGAAGUAGAUGAAAAGCGCAAGCACUGAGACUAAUGUCAUCUCAGGGCCAGGCAGCGUUCCUCCCCGAUGCUGCCAUGGGCAGCAGGCUCCUCUUCGGCGUCAUCCUCUGUCUCAUCAGAGUCGGCCUCAAGGAUGCUGCAGUCACACAAUUCCCAAGACACGUGAUUUCAGGGGCAGGGAAGAAAUUAACUCUAAAUUUUUCGCAGAAUAUGAAUCAUAUUUCAAUGUAUUGGUAUCGCCAAGAUCCAGGAUUUGGACUGCAGCUGAUCUAUUACUCGACUGGGCCCAACACCAUUGAAAAUGGAGAUAUCCCCGACGGGUAUCGUGUCUCUCGAAAUGAAAUAGAAUCUUUCUCCCUGACCCUGGGGUCAGCCAGCACCAACCAGACAGCUGUGUACCUCUGCGCCAGCAGUGAAUCCACAGCACUGCAGAGCCACAUCCUCUCUGCACAAAAAAGAGGCAAACCAGGGAAUGAAGGGCCACAAGUGUCCUGA